UACCGUCCUCGCCGGGGGCUUUGCGCCUCUUCA
rnacentral:sRNA from 1 species